AUUUGCAGCAUGGCUGCCAGAACAGAUAAUGUGACAGAGUCACCAGAUACAGAUAAUCGUGGCAGAGCCACCAGAACAAAUAUAUGUGGCAAAGCCACCAGAUCAGAUAUUUGUGGCAUAGCCACCAGAACGCUUCCUCCAUAAUAUAACCCAUGUCCCCAUGCAACAGAUAUAUAAUCAUGGCAUACAUCAUACAGAAUCAGAUCGUCAUGCUUUUCAGUCAAAAUUAAC
rnacentral:lncRNA from 1 species